rnacentral:rRNA from 1 species
AUAUGGUAGGAGAGCGUUCUGUAAGCCUGCGAAGGUGUCUUGUAAAGGAUGCUGGAGGUAUCAGAAGUGCGAAUGCUGACAUGAGUAGCGAUAAUGGGGGUGAAAAGCCCCCACGCCGUAAGCCCAAGGUUUCCUGUUCAACGUUCAUCGGAGCAGGGUGAGUCGGCCCCUAAGGCGAGGCAGAGAUGCGUAGCUGAUGGGAAGCAGGUUAAUAUUCCUGCACCGUCGUAUGAUGCGAUGGGGGGACGGAUCGCGGAAGGUUGUCUGACUGUUGGAAUAGUCAGUUUCUGGUUCAUAGAAGGCGCUUAGGCAAAUCCGGGCGCGGAAUUCAAGGGAUCGGGACGAGGCAUUUAGGUGCUGAAGCAAUCGGAAGUGGUUCCAAGAAAAGCCUCUAAGCUUCAGUCAUACGAGACCGUACCGCAAACCGACACAGGUGGGCGAGAUGAGUAUUCUAAGGCGCUUGAGAGAACUCGGGAGAAGGAACUCGGCAAAUUGGUACCGUAACUUCGGGAAAAGGUACGCCCUUGUAGCUUGGCUGAUUUACUUCAGUAGGGCGAACGGGUUGCAAUAAACUGGUGGCUGCGACUGUUUAAUAAAAACACAGCACUCUGCAAACACGAAAGUGGACGUAUAGGGUGUGACGCCUGCCCGGUGCUGGAAGAUUAAAUGAUGGGGUGCAAGCUCUUGAUUGAAGUCCCAGUAAACGGCGGCCGUAACUAUAACGGUCCUAAGGUAGCGAAAUUCCUUGUCGGGUAAGUUCCGACCUGCACGAAUGGCGUAACGAUGGCCACACUGUCUCCUCCCGAGACUCAGCGAAGUUGAAGUGUUUGUGAUGAUGCAAUCUACCCGCGGCUAGACGGAAAGACCCCAUGAACCUUUACUGUAGCUUUGCAUUGGACUUUGAAUCAAUCUGUGUAGGAUAGGUGGGAGGCUUUGAAGCGGGGACGCCAGUUCUCGUGGAGCCAUCCUUGAAAUACCACCCUGGUUCAUUUGAGGUUCUAACCUUGGCCCGUUAUCCGGGUCGGGGACAGUGCAUGGUAGGCAGUUUGACUGGGGCGGUCUCCUCCUAAAGUGUAACGGAGGAGUUCGAAGGUACGCUAGGUACGGUCGGACAUCGUGCUAAUAGUGCAAUGGCAUAAGCGUGCUUAACUGCGAGACUGACAAGUCGAGCAGGUACGAAAGUAGGACAUAGUGAUCCGGUGGUUCUGUAUGGAAGGGCCAUCGCUCAACGGAUAAAAGGUACUCUGGGGAUAACAGGCUGAUUCCUCCCAAGAGUUCAUAUCGACGGGGGAGUUUGGCACCUCGAUGUCGGCUCAUCACAUCCUGGGGCUGUAGCCGGUCCCAAGGGUAUGGCUGUUCGCCAUUUAAAGUGGUACGUGAGCUGGGUUUAAAACGUCGUGAGACAGUUUGGUCCCUAUCUGCCGUGGGCGUUGGAAAUUUGAAGGGGGCUGCUCCUAGUACGAGAGGACCGGAGUGGACAGACCUCUGGUGUACCGGUUGUCACGCCAGUGGCAUUGCCGGGUAGCUAAGUCUGGAAGAGAUAACCGCUGAAAGCAUCUAAGCGGGAAACUUGCCUUAAGAUGAGAUUUCCCAGAGCCUUGAGCUCUUUGAAGGGUCGUUCGAGACCAGGACGUUGAUAGGUCAGGUGUGGAAGUGCAGUAAUGCAUUAAGCUAACUGAUACUAAUUGCCCGUACGGCUUGUCCCUAUAACCUUAGCAGGUUAU